rnacentral:rRNA from 1 species
UCCUACGGGUGGCAGCAGUCUAGAGGCUUCGGCAAUGGGGGCAACCCUGACCGAGCGACGCCGCGUGUGGGAUUGAAGGCCUUCGGGUCGUAAACCACUGUCAUUGGGAAAGAAUGCCCGGAUGGCGAAUCCGGGAGGGACGGUACCCAAGAAGGAAGCCCCGGCUAACUCCGUGCCAGCAGCCGCGGUAAUACGGAGGGGGCAAGCGUUGUUCGGAUUUACUGGGCGUAAAGGGUGUGUAGGCGGCUGCGCAAGUCUGGUGUGAAAUCUUCGCCGCUUAACGGGAAGAGGUCACUGGAAACUGCGUAGCUCGAGUAUGGUAGAGGCAAGCGGAAUUCCUGGUGUAGCGGUGGAAUGUGUAGAUAUCAGGAAGAACACCGGUGGCGAAGGCGGCUUGCUGGGCCAUCACUGACGCUGAGACACGAAAGCGUGGGGAGCAAACGGGAUUAGAUACCCGGGUAGUC